rnacentral:rRNA from 1 species
UACGUAGGGGGCUAGCGUUGUCCGGAAUCAUUGGGCGUAAAGCGCGUGUAGGCGGUCCGGUAAGUCCGCUGUGAAAGUCGGGGGCUCAACCCUCGAAUGCCGGUGGAUACUGUCGGGCUAGAGUGCGGAAGAGGCGAGUGGAAUUCCUGGUGUAGCGGUGGAAUGCGUAGAGAUCCGGAAGAACACCGGUGGCGAAGGCGGCCUGCUGGGCAGUUGCUGACGCUGAGGCGCGACAGCGUGGGGAGCAAACAGG